GGGAUUGAGCUGUCAGGUCAACUAACUUGACCGUCGGAGAGCCGUUUCCCGGAAACAGCUCCGGCGGCCGUACUUACCAUUGUUGUAUUGCAGAUACAGGAGGAGGACGACUAUCGUGGAGCAUUCUCAAAAGUGAAAGGGUUGGAUAAGUUCGCUGGUAUCCCCUUCCGAUUUCUACAUUACAAACUCACCCCCACAAUUGGCGCCGUCUGUGGGAAAUCGGCUGUUGAUACCUGCUAGAACGACACCCAUGACUUCUGAGGGAGAAAACUGUUCCGGAAGUCGUCGGACCCGGGGGGAAC
rnacentral:lncRNA from 1 species